AUUUUCCAGCUGGUUUUGAGGAAGUGAGCUGCCAUGUACUAGGCCACGUGGCAAGGGCCUGGUUGGGGACCUCCAGGGGUUGAGAGCAUCCUCUGGACAACAUGGAAAAAGAAAAUGAAAAUGGUGACCUCAGCCCUAUAGCUAGAAGGAAUUGAAUCCUGUCAACAACGAUACUCAUCACUCACUGCAGAUGUUACUUUAAGACAUUCUGGAGCAGCGUCAUGUGCAGUCAUGUGAAAGUAUAUUCCAAACCCAGAACCUGAGCACAGAUUGGGACUGAGAAACACUUGUCUAGAUUGUCAGGCAAUCUGUAACAUCAGCAGUGGAUGGAAAGAAGGAGAAAGAUGAGUUUUAUGGACGCUAACCCAUCUAUAUGGCUUUGGAAAAUAAAGUACUGCUGUUUUUUUUUGUAAA
rnacentral:lncRNA from 1 species